AUUUCAUAAUUAUAACCUAUAUACACCAGUUACAUGCAGUUAUAUACAGUAUUUAUAACGUCCAUCAUUUUAUCAUUCUAAGAUUAAAAUUUGUCAACAGAAUGACAUAUACAGCUUAUAUCAAAUUAUAUUUGCACCGACAAUGCAUAUGUACCAAACUAUGGUAGGCGAGCACGCCCAGGUAAUGAUCUUUGUUUGCAAAAUAUCCAGUGUACAGUAAUUGCCCAAUAACUCAGGCAAUGCAAAGCAAUUAUACUCUUGUCAUGAGGCACGCCAGCUCAUUUCCAUAUAAAAUGAAAUGUAAUGUUUUCUAACCAAUAUUGCAUCACUAUUAGAAAUCCAGCUCAUUAACCCAUUAAGCGCCAGCGCUCUCCCCUUGACGAGUAAAAUCGUCUGGCGUUAGACAGAGUAAAAUACUAAAGUGGGGUGCAUCAGGGUGCAAUGCG